GCAUCUAUUGUGCCGUAGCCGUGCUCUCGGCCGCCGCCGAGCCCUUCCUCUUCCUCAACCAUCAUGUUCGCUUCCUCUCAACACGCCACUCUCCACCACCGGUCCUCCCUCCUAGCUAAUCUCGACAGUACGAGCCCCCUGCCUGGCCUAGAGAAACUCUAUGUUGUUCCAAUCGACCAGUCCUCCGCCACCAUGCCCCGCUUUUCCCCUGAGGACCUGCCAUUCGCCACCUUGCAACCCCCUCCCCCCAUCCCCAUGGGCCAUCUCCUCAGCGGUCCUUGUCACUCGUCUCAAAUUCAUUCAAGACGAGUUGACGGGAUUUUUAAGUUCGCCACAGAACUCUAGUAUGCACCCGCCCAACUUAAAAGCUCGUUACUGUAUAAACUAAGCUAUUACAAGUGAUUACCGAGGCGUAAUGAUAUGGUUAGGGACGCAAGAGAUUGACGCAACACUCUCUCGUAUGUAGACCUCGAAGCUGGUGGGGGCAUGACGCAACAGGUAGAGUGUGCAAUACUGUCAUGGCGAAGGAGUGUCAUCCUGCUUCAAAGAUCCUCAAUGGUAAAACCAAACAUAUUAAAUUCAAAGAAAACAAAGUAACCAAAAAAAAAAAUAAGUAGCUCAAAUAAUUUUUUUUCCACAAGUAACGUAGCCACCCCCCCCCCCCCAGUUUUGGAAAAUCCUUAUUAGGUGUGCGCAUUUUUAUGUUUUGGUCCUCCCUAUAAUCGUAUUUCUUUUUUUUUGGCCCUCGAUAUAUUUCUUUGGCAUAGUGGCCUAAAUUAAAACCACCCUGUAAUCCCUAUGAUUUUCUAGAUAGCCCAUAAACCUUUUCUUAAUGGAAGAUAGCCCAUAUACCUCUACAUCUUUAGCCAAGACAAAAAAGAAAGAAAAACCUAGUCCAGUACUCC
rnacentral:lncRNA from 1 species